GUAAUCGCUUCGGCAGCACAUAUACUGAAAUUGGAAUGAUACAGAGUAGAUUAGCAUGGCCCCUGCACAAGGAUUACUUGCAAAUUCAUGAAGUGUUCCAUAUUUAA
ensembl:snRNA U6 U6 spliceosomal RNA